rnacentral:rRNA from 1 species
CGCACGGGUGCGUAACGCGUAACCAACCUACCCUUGACUGGGGGAUAGCCCGCCGAAAGGCGGAUUAAUACCGCAUAAACCAGCAGCCUGGCAUCAGGUAAUUGGUAAAGAUUUAUUGGUCAAGGAUGGGGUUGCGUAGCAUUAGCUAGAUGGCGGGGUAACGGCCCACCAUGGCGACGAUGCUUAGGGGACCUGAGAGGGUGAUCCCCCACACUGGCACUGAGAUACGGGCCAG